GACGAACGCUGGCGGCGUGCCUAAUACAUGCAAGUAGAACGCAGUUGCGAACGGGUGAGUAACGCGUAGGUAACUGCCUCAUCGCGGGGGAUAACUAUUGGAAACGAUAGCUAAUACCGCAUACUGCGAGAUGGACCUGCGUUGUAUUAGGUAGUUGGUGAGGUAAAGGCUCACCAAGGCGACGAUACAUACCCGACCUGAGAGGGGGGUCGGCCAAAACGGGACUGGGGAACGGGCCAGACUCCGACGGGGAGCAGGAGUAGGGGAUCUUCGGGAAUGGAAGGAAGGCUGGCCGAGCAACGCCGCGUGGGUGAAGAAGGGUUUCGGGUCGUAAAACUCUGUUGUUAGAGAAGCGGUAUCUAACCAGAAAGGGACGGCUAACUACGUGCCAGCAGCCGCGGUAAUAC
rnacentral:rRNA from 1 species